rnacentral:rRNA from 1 species
AUACGGAGGAUCCGAGCGUUAUCCGGAUUUAUUGGGUUUAAAGGGAGCGUAGGUGGACAGUUAAGUCAGUUGUGAAAGUUUGCGGCUCAACCGUAAAAUUGCAGUUGAUACUGGCUGUCUUGAGUACAGUAGAGGUGGGCGGAAUUUGGGGUGUAGCGGUGAAAUGCUUAGAUAUCACGAAGAACUCCGAUUGCGAAGGCAGCUCACUGGACUGCAACUGACACUGAUGCUCGAAAGUGUGGGUAUCAAACAGGAUUAGAUACCCUGGUAGUCCACACAGUAAACGAUGAAUACUCGCUGUUUGCGAUAUACAGUAAGCGGCCAAGCGAAAGCAUUAAGUAUUCCACCUGGGGAGUACGCCGGCAACGGUGAAACUCAAAUGAAUUGACGGGG